rnacentral:rRNA from 1 species
UACGUAGGGUCCAAGCGUUAAUCGGAAUUACUGGGCGUAAAGCGUGCGCAGGCGGUUCGUUAAGUCAGCUGUGAAAGCCCCGGGCUCAACCUGGGAAUUGCGGUUGAAACUGGCGAACUAGAAUCUGGCAGAGGGGGUGGAAUUCCACGUGUAGCAGGUGAAAUGCGUAGAGAUGUGGAGGAACAGCCGAUGGCGAAGGACAGCCCCCUGGGUCAAGCAUUGGACGCUCGAUGCACGAAA